UGUGAUUUAAAAAUAAUUCUGACAAGCUUUCAUUUAUUCAAGACUGAACCUGCCGCAGAGCGUUGCUCUUGUCUUAAGUGUACUAUUUUCUAUGCAAAGGUGCAGAUACUGGAGUAUGAUCAUCUGGUUGGAGCAGUCAAUGAGGGUGGAUUCCACUUGUCUCUUAUAGUAAGUGAAAAUGAUUCUCAAUUUACUUGCGAAAUAUCACGGUUGUCAAAUUUUUAACUUGGAUACAUGUAUAAAUGGCAUGAAACAUUGUCUACUGGGCCUCUACAAAAAUUGGUUCCAUAACAGAGCUGGGGCCAAAAUUUGCCCUGUCCUGUGAUGAAUCUGUUUUUCCUCUAUGUGAACAGUAAACCCUUCAAAAAUCUUCACUCAAAACACAUGGCAUAGAGCUUACAUUUUUGGCAUUCGUAUAGUGGGCUUCUACAAAGAUUGUUGAGAUUACAGGCUUGGGGCCAAAAGUUAGGCCCACCCUGGGGCCCAAUAUGUUUUCCCUACAUGUAUAUACUAAAAAUACUUCACAAAUAGUCUUCUCUUAAACCACAAGGCAUAUAGGAUAAAUAUUGUGCAUACAAAAUUGCCAAGUGGACAUCUGCCAAUAUUGUUCAAAUUUAGGCACACAGGUUAAAAUUUGCCCUGUCCUGCUGGGCCAUCGUGUUCAUACAAGAAAGUAUGUAGUUAGUAAAAACUUAAAAAAACCUUCUCUGAAAACAUAAGGCAUAGAUAAUAGGUUUUUGGCAUGAACAAUUUAUAGUAUUUUCAUCUUGAUUGCUAAAUUUAUUUUUCUUGUUCAAAAAAAUAUCCCCAACCUGGAGCAGUCAAAUUAUUUUUAUAUAUGUACAUAGAAAAAAAAACUUUAAAAUUCUUCUAAAUAGGUUAAAUUUUCAAGAUUCCUGCCAGUGGGACUAAUUAUUAAGAUCGCAUAUUAUUCAGGUUAGCACCCCAAGGCCCUCUGGGGGCCUCUUUUAUUUUCUUCAGGUUGUGCAACCGAAAGACAACAAAGUAUUGUACAUAAAUCCGAUGGGGGAGCAGAAUGUUUCCCAGCAACAGAUCCUGCAACAAUGGAUUAAAUUUGUGCACAUUCGGCGCUUAUCCAGCAUUGAUAUGGGCGGACCAAUACAUUGGAACAUACUCUGCCCACGUCAUGCAAAACAGUCAGAUUCAAUAUCUUGCGGUGUCUACGUUUUAAAGUAAGCAGAAUGCUACCUGCAGAAUCAAUCCCUAGAGUUUGUGCUCAGCAAAACACAACUACUAGAAGAACGGAGACGAAUAGCCAGAAGACUGCUUUCUGAAGGGGAAUUCAUUGGAGGUCAUCUAGAAGAGAUAGCAAGUAGCCCAUCAGUCGAACAUGAGAACUCGGACCAGCUGGCAAACAACCCUGCCUCUGCCAUGGAUUUGGAAGGGGGAGACACUGACCCAGUAGUCGAUCAUGUAGCAACAGCCAGGGUACUCUAUUUAUGUGAAUUAAUUGUAAACGUAAAUGGAUCAAAAAUGCAGAAAAAGUAAUCUGAUCAAAGAGCAGUGAAUUAUCUUAGGCAGCAGGAGACUUAGAGUGAUAAGGGUUUGAGAAAACACUGUUUGUUAGUAAGUCAAUAACACUUGAUUAAACAAUCGCAAUCAGAGUUACUGUUAAAAGAGUAUCCUUGCUAACAAAUCAUUCUUCAGUCUUAUGGUAAUUUCAGUUGUAGCUUUUCUAAAUUGAUAAACCUCUUGUGUACCAUAAUGCAAAGCAUAUUUUUAGAGGUUCAUCGACGUAUCUUUUAGGUUAA